GGGAGAGAGAGAGAGAGGGAGAGCGGUUUUGAAGCUACCGUCACAUAGGACUUUCCUUAUAUAGCAUCGCGCCCUGGCGUGCAAGUACGGCCAAAAACGACGGCCGCGAAACCGCUGUUGAAGCUCCCGCCGUCGCGCCUCUCGGUCGCAAGCUUGACGGGGAUGGGGAGGGGGAAGAUAGUGAUACGGAGGAUCGACAACACGACGAGCAGGCAGGUGACGUUCUCGAAGCGGAGGAAUGGAUUGUUGAAGAAGGCGAGGGAGCUCGCCAUCCUGUGCGACGCCGAGGUCGGGGUCGUCAUCUUCUCCAGCACCGGCAAGCUCUACGACUUCGCCAGCUCCAGCAUGAGCAAGGUAAUUGAGCGGUACGACAAAUUAAAAGAAGAGACUGAUCAAUCUGCGAGCCCAAUGGCUGAACUUAAGUAUUGGCAGAGGGAAGCAGCAAUAUUAAGGCAACAACUGCAGCAUCUCCAAGAAAACCACCGGCAAAUGAUGGGAGAAGAACUCUCAGGCUUGAGCAUCAAAGAAUUGCGGAAUUUGGAGAACCAAUUGGAAAUGAGUCUCCGCGGUGUCCGCACAAAAAAGGACCAAGUUUUAAUGGAAGAAGUACGGGAGCUGAACAGAAAGGGAAACCUCCUUCACCAGGAAAACUUGGAACUGCAUAAGAAAGAAAAUCUAUUUAAACAAGAGAACAUGGAAUUGUACAAGAAGGUCUAUGGCACAAGAGAUGCAAAUAACAUAAAUGGAGCACACGCGAGUCUUCUACCAAAUAAACCAAGCAAUGAUGAAGAUGCUCAAGUACCUAUCCAUCUCCAACUAAGCCAGCCGCAUCAUCAGAACUGUGAGACGUCAUCUAGAACUACAAACUUAGGGUAUAUAGCUUCUCUCGACAUAUACUUCAAUUUUUGAAGGUCACAUGCUUACAAACUUUUUGACCAAAUUCUACUUUACCGAUAUUGAAACAGAUUGCAGCUGCAUUAGCAAACUGGGUGCAACAACUGCAGAAGUACAUUAUUGAGUCUCUAUCAAGGGACCAUGCAAACAAAGGACAACCGGGAAGAGCUAUGAAAGUACGAUGCAACUGGAGAUCAAGCACACACCUCAAUAAAGAAGCUAAUGACCCAACUGCAAUUCAGAUAGAUAACUUUCAAGUUGAUGGAAUCUACUAGGUGUAGUGUUUCUGGGUUGAAUAUUAAACUUCGAUCUCAGAAACAAAAUGGAAUCAACAAUCUACACCGGUAUUGAGCAUAUUCAUGCUCGUGAAAUUAUCUGAUUGAGAAUAAGCCAAAACUUUUCACAGAA